rnacentral:rRNA from 1 species
AGUGAACGCCGGCGGUAGGCCUAACACAUGCAAGUCGAACGGCAGCACAGUAAGAGCUUGCUCUUACGGGUGGCGAGUGGCGGACGGGUGAGGAAUACAUCGGAAUCUACUUUUUCGUGGGGGAUAACGUAGGGAAACUUACGCUAAUACCGCAUACGACCUACGGGUGAAAGCAGGGGAUCUUCGGACCUUGCGCGAUUGAAUGAGCCGAUGUCGGAUUAGCUAGUUGGCGGGGUAAAGGCCCACCAAGGCGACGAUCCGUAGCUGGUCUGAGAGGAUGAUCAGCAACACUGGAACUGAGACACGGUCCAGACUCCUACGGGAGGCAGCAGUGGGGAAUAUUGGACAAUGGGCGCAAGCCUGAUCCAGCCAUACCGCGUGGGUGAAGAAGGCCUUCGGGUUGUAAAGCCCUUUUGUUGGGAAAGAAAAGCAGCAGGUUAAUACCCCGCUGUUCUGACGGUACCCAAAGAAUAAGCACCGGCUAACUUCGUG